GCAAGUCGUACGAGAGUUUUUAACUCAAGUGGCGGACGGGUGAGUAACGCGUAGGAAUCUACCCAGUAGUGGGGGACAACAUGGUGAAAACCAUGCUAAUACCGCAUACGCCCUAAGGGGGAAAGCGGGGGACCUUCGGGCCUCGCGCUAUUGGAUGAGCCUGCGUCGGAUUAGCUUGUUGGUGAGGUAAAAGCUCACCAAGGCGACGAUCCGUAGCUGGUCUGAGAGGAUGAUC
rnacentral:rRNA from 1 species